CCAGCCCUGCUGGGCUGUAUGGGGGCACCAACCCACUUAUGUCUCCCACUGCUGAGGAUCAGCCAGGGCCACAGCUACCGACCAGCAGGGGCAGAAGACCAAGGAGUGGACUUUUGAAAAGAGGCAGCGUGGCUGCUCGGUGCCGUGGGCAGGCUCAGGAGGUCGGGUGUGGGCUGGGCUCACUGCUGCUGUGUGGCCUCAGGUAGGCCACUCAUCCUCUCAGAACUAAGCGUGGCGUGACUGUCUGCAACAUGACUCCUACUAUGCAGGACUACCUUAAGGACUGAGAGAAACGGUACUGGGGGACAGUGCGGGCAGCCUGUAGUGCUACCCUUUAUGGAGCGGCAGCCCUUAAGCAAUGGAAAGAGAGCAGCCUCUAGAACAGCACCCCCAUAAACUGGCCCCACUUGGCCCCAGCAUGAAGGAGACCCAGAUCCCUGUGGCUGAAAUGGGAACAUGACCAGCUGUUCACAGAAGGGCUCCUGCGGGUGAUUUUAGAGCAGGAUGGAGGCCGUGGGUACCCCUGGGAUUUUCCCGGCUCAGCCCUCCUCCUCAGAGUGCAUUGAAGUUGUGACAUGCAGAUGACGUCACGGAGAGUUGUGGUGACCUAGGCUGAGGACCCUCUGCCUCCAGUCUCCGGCCACCCUGUGGUCACCCAGCAUCUGGCCCUGCUGGCUACCCUUGGGUGUGGACUCAUCACCUUCCCUGGGAGGACCACAUAAACUCAUGCACAGGGACUGGACUCAUCACUCCUGUGGCCCCGGUCAGUUUUACAGUCCAGGGUGAGAGGGGCCCAGAGCUCAGCUAACGCAGCAUCAGCCCUGGAAUCUGAGAAGCCCGCGGAGCUGGGGCAUGCUGGGAGCUGGUGACAGGCUCGGGCAGGGACUGGCAAGCUGCCGGCAGCUGGUGCUCUCCUGACCCCCUGCCCUGCCCCAUCAGGGCUCCCUGUUCGCUGGGUCUCCUCCAGGUUGGGUGCCCUGAGGCAGGGGCGGGUGGCUCUCCCCCGUCUCCCGGCUGGAUCCUCAGGACCUGCUCCCAGGAUAUGCCUGUGAGUAAUCAUACAGAUAACGAACUGGCAGUAAAAUGUCACAGGAACCUGGGCGGGAGCCAGGGAACCGAUUUCUGGCUGUGUUUGGCCUUUUGCUAUUUUGAAUGCAGUUUAGAAGGUGCCAAUUUCAUCUGAGGCGUCAAGCUCUGACAUCAUCCCUUGUUAAGCAAAAGUGAUCUUCCCUUAGACUGCCUGCCCUCAAGAGCUGUGCCUCCUCUCCCCAAACCACAGCCUGUCUCAUUGCCCCUCGUCUCCCGAGGGUGCCCUUCUGAAGAUCUGCCUCCUCCAGCCUCACUCCCCCGCACUCCAGCCCCCAAAGGACGGGGCGGAAGUAGGUGACGCACGCACUGGAACACCCACAGUGAGGUCCCUGAAGGAAAAGUGUUCUAGGAUCGCCAUGGCCCCUGGCCUUCCUGAGGCCUUGCCCACCUUUGUCUCCUCCGUCCCCCUCGUGCUGCGGGCCAUGUGGGGCAGAGGCAGUAAGCCAGGGCCAGCUCGUGCUGUGGUGGCCAGCAGCUGCGGCCUGGCACUGUGCUCCCUCAGCACCAGCCAGCUGUGGUGUCAGCUCAGCCUGGCAAAGAGCCACCUUCCGCCUGCCUGGCCCACCUGCUGCCCUCUGCCUUGUCCUCCUGUCUCGGGGCAACUUGGAUGCUUGCAGGAGUUUCCCAUGGCCGCCCGAGAUGAUUGCUACAGACUUGGUGACUUAAAACAGCACACACAAAAUGGGUUUUACUGGGCUAACAUUAAGGUGUUGGCACUUCUGUCUUCCUCUUUCACUUGUCAGGACCCUUAUGGUCACAUUGGCCCACCUGGAUCAUCUCCCCAUCUCAAAAGCCUUCACUUAACCACAGGGCAAAGUUCCCUUCGCCAUGUAAGGUUUUGGGGAUCCUAAUCAAUACCUUUGCAAGGGCCACCAUUCUGCCUGCCCCACUGCUCAGUUCAGCCCAUCAGCUCCAGCACUAACCGGUAAGGGUUGGUCAGAGGAAUCAUGCUAUAUAUAUGUCAUUUCCUCAAAGGCUCAAAUAGCCAGGGCUGGACUCGGGCAGCAAAGGAGGCCCCACGAUGGAGGAUGGGGGGUCUUGCCCCCACCAGUACCUCCAGGCCAUGCCCAGACACCUUGGGGUCACUAGGGAGGUUGUGCCUGUCCAGCGGGUGCUUCCUCCCUUCUUAGGACAAGCCUGCAGCAGGGUGAUGGAUUUGCAAAUGCUUUCAAGCCUUUUUUUCAAAUGAAAGAAUCUCAUUAUUUUCAACGAAAUAUUACAAAAUAACACACACCCUAAAGACAAGUUGGAAUGUAAAGAAAUGCACCAAAAAAGACAUAAAUCUCCUUUGAUCCCAGCACCCAAGUGAACAUCUGGCUUCAGUUGCACAUAUGGAAAUUCUCAAGGGAGGAUCAUCCCACACAGGCCCGCUGAUCUGUAACCUUUUUGCUCUUAACCUGUUGUCGGUGCUUCUUUGUGUUACAUAUGCUCUUCUAUCUGGAACAA